AUACGGAGGGUGCAAGCGUUACUCGGAAUCACUGGGCGUAAAGGAUGCGUAGGCGGAUAAUCAAGUCAAAAGUGAAAUCCCACGGCUUAACCGUGGAACUGCUUUCGAAACUGGUUAUCUAGAAUAUGGAAGAGGCAGAUGGAAUUAGUGGUGUAGGGGUAAAAUCCGUAGAGAUCACUAGGAAUACCGAUUGCGAAGGCGAUCUGCUGGGACAUUAUUGACGCUGAGGCAUGAAAGCGUGGGGAGCAAACAGGAUUAGAAACCCGGGUAGUCC
rnacentral:rRNA from 1 species